rnacentral:lncRNA from 1 species
UUGAAUUCUAUUUCUUAAGUUGACAAUCUAAAAUUUAAAGACCUUAUAAAUUUUUGAAAAAUCUGAAUCAUGCUUUUUUUUUCUGUUGCUUUCAUUAUUUAUGAAGUUUUCUAAAACUUAGAACAAUGUGAAAGUUUUAAAAACUCACUUAGGAAGAAAGUUCAAGGUGUUACUCUAACUUAAUUCUUUAUUAAAAAGAAAAGCAAUGACUGAAGAAUGAUAUUUACAUUNNNNNNNNNNNNNNNNNNNNNNNNNNNNNNCAGUCUCUGAAACAGUUCCUUUCAGCUGUCUGUCCUGGUGCCUAUCAAGCUAAUAGAAUAUUCUUCCCAUUGUUAAUAUCCUUUGCUUUCAUAUGGUCCUAAAGCAUUGUUUCUUCUAUUGUUUCUUAUUUCUUAAUUUUUUUUUAAAAGAUUAUUUCUUAUUUCAACUUUUUAUAGCAUUUUUAUUUACUGUUUUGUCUAUCCUCAGAUAUAAGUAUGUUGUUCUGAAGAUAACAAUUAAAAUUUUAGGAUUCUUUCCUCCCCUUUAUCAUAAUUUUAAAAAAGGGAGUUGUUCCUCAAUUUGGAACUCAUUUUCCUCUAAGUAGAAGUGAUGUGUUCAGCAUCCUUCUUAUUCUUCUUUUAUUUAAUAGGUGGGGAGAAAUUUCUGCACAUUUAUAUAAUCAAUACUUCAAGGAUUUGUGCAAACUUUCUUAUAUAAGAAUAUUCUCCACAUUUAACCCUCUGCUAUAUUCUCUCUUCCGUCUCUCGUGAUUUUAAGAAAGGAAUAAGAUGUAGUAAGUUGUCUCAGCAAUCAGAAGUCAUUCCUCAAAUAUUCUAUCCAGAUAACAUUUGUGAGGCGUUCUACACAAAACAACUCCUCUGCUUACUUGUGGAGCUGUGUAGACUAUGCCUGUGACUUUCCUACAAGUUUUCAGGCACAUUGCCUUUAUCUCAGAGAAAUUCAAGCAGUUAUGGCACUCUAAGGUGAGGAAUAAGGCAUACAGGGCCACGGGACGGUUUUGUUCUUCCUUUCUGAUCAGGUUUCCCUCAUGGCCCUUCGCUGAGACAGUACUUACAAAUACUGCUAUUGUCACCUGCUGGCUAACUGGAGGAAACAUCACACUUCUCACAAAGCAUCUUUUGAAGUAUCCAUUCAAAACGGAUGCAAGAAUCACCACCAUAUGGAAAGAAAUAAGAUGGUCAAGACUGGGAGUUUCGGGAGUUCCUGGUGGUCCAGUGGCUAAGAUCCCAAUGCAGGAGAUCUGGGUUCGAUCCAUAGUCAGGGAACUAGACACCAGAUGCUGCAACUAA